ACUCCUACGGGAGGCAGCAGUGGGGAAUUUUGCGCAAUGGGGGAAACCCUGACGCAGCAACGCCGCGUGAGUGAUGAAGGCCUUCGGGUCGUAAAGCUCUGUCAGAGGGGAAGAAAUGCAGGGGUGCUAACACCAUUUCUGCUUGACGGUACCCUCAAAGGAAGCACCGGCUAACUCCGUGCCAGCAGCCGCGGUAAUACGGAGGGUGCGAGCGUUGUUCGGAAUUAUUGGGCGUAAAGCGCGUGUAGGCGGCUCCUUAAGUCUGAUGUGAAAGCCCCGGGCUCAACCUGGGAAGUGCAUUGGAUACUGGAAGACUUGAAUACGGGAGAGGGCAGUGGAAUUCCUGGUGUAGGAGUGAAAUCCGUAGAUAUCAGGAGGAACACCGGUGGCGAAGGCGGCUGCCUGGACCGAUACUGACGCUGAGACGCGGAAGCGUGGGGAGCAAACAGGAUUAGAUACCCUGGUAGUCCACGCCGUAAACGAUGAGAACUAGGUGUCGCGGGUA
rnacentral:rRNA from 1 species